rnacentral:lncRNA from 1 species
GCACUCUCUCCACGGAAUAGUGAUUCAGCAUGAAAAAUUAGGUCUGAGUUUCAACUUUACCCUUCUCAUUUCUUUCUCACGUCUGAAGCAUCUUCUUAUUUUUUUCAUUCUUCUUCCCAUUUCCUUCCAACCUUCUCCCUCUUUUUCAUGCUUCUAUCCUGACCAACCCUUUGACAAACCCUAACAACCCUCAACAAGGCCUUCAAUUACGAAUUGUAUGAGGUGGAAACUUGAGAAGAGAAACAAUCGGAUUGGUUUGAUGUAAGCAGUCGUCCCUCAGGUAACUCUACUUCGAUUUUGAUUUCCUUUUAUAUUAUUGUUCGACCCUCUUCAAGAAGAUAAAACAUGUUAAAGGGUCUAAAAUGAAACAUGUCAAGGUUCUAAUCUUACUAUGAUACCCCCAAUGUUUUAGCCUUAUUUAUGUCUUUUAUGGGGCAUGUAGAUUUUGUAAGCAUAUGAUUUUCUUGGAUGCUUUGGUUCACUUUCAUCAAUCGUAUGUUUUUCUGUAGUCAUUUCCUUUCAAAGGCUUCUUUUGUCUUAUAAGGUAGUUUUGUGCCUUCAGGGCACCGAAUCAAAUUAGAAAGUGUUUGAGAUAUCGAUGUUGGUGGGAUAAAUGAUUCCAAUGGAUAAAGCUUGGGAUUAUUGCAAUCCGUUCUGUUCCAAUUCAAACAAGCAGAUAUCCAC